rnacentral:rRNA from 1 species
UACGAAGGGGGGCUAGCGUUGUUCGGAAUUACUGGGCGUAAAGGGCGCGUAGGCGGCCUGUUAAGUCGAACGUGAAAUCCCCGGGCUCAACCCGGGAACUGCGUCCGAUACUGGCAGGCUUGAAUCCGGGAGAGGGAUGCGGAAUUCCAGGUGUAGCGGUGAAAUGCGUAGAUAUCUGGAGGAACACCGGUGGCGAAGGCGGCAUCCUGGACCGGCAUUGACGCUGAGGCACGAAGGCCAGGGGAGCAAACGG